CUCGUAGGCGGUUCGUCGCGUCCGGUGUGAAAGUCCAUCGCUUAACGGUGGAUCUGCGCCGGGUACGGGCGGGCUGGAGUGCGGUAGGGGAGACUGGAAUUCCCGGUGUAACGGUGGAAUGUGUAGAUAUCGGGAAGAACACCAAUGGCGAAGGCAGGUCUCUGGGCCGUUACUGACGCUGAGGAGCGAAAGCGUGGGGGGCGAACA
rnacentral:rRNA from 1 species